rnacentral:sRNA from 1 species
UUUAUCUAAAGCUUUUUUUGGUCUCUUGUAUCCUUCUUGCCGGUUUCUCCCAGAAGCUCUCCUCCGAGUGGAAACCAGAGAUCAGGCUCCCGUCUGGCAGUGACCACGUCAUGCUGAAGUCCCUCGACUGGAAUGCUGAGUAUGAGGUCUACGUGGUGGCUGAGAACCAGCAAGGAAAAUCCAAGGCAGCUCAUUUUGUGUUCAGGACCUCGGCCCAGCCCACAGCCAUCCCAGCAACCUUGGGAGGCAAUUCUGCAUCCUACACCUUUGUCUCAUUGCUUUUCUCUGCAGUGACUCUUCUUUUGCUCUGUUAGGAACUUGAACACAAAAAUUAAAUUUGCUUAAAAGCCCAGUUCCUAUGAAAAAGAUCAGUGCCCCCUUUGGAAGAACCUGGCAGGACCACCAUGGCCACAGCUGCUGAGCAACCAUUCUGUGUGGAAGAGAAGGUUUUGCGAUUGGAAAAAGCUUUACCUCCAGACAUGUCACCACUCACAGAUACUUUUGUGCCACUUCAUAAGGAGUUUGCCUCCUUUUUAAUGGCAGUAAAAAGAAUUUGAGAGCUUU